AGGGUGUAUAGGUAGUGCACUAUAUAGGGAAUAGGGUGUAUAGGUAGUGCACUAUAUAGGGAAUAGGGUGUAUAGGUAGUGCACUAUAUAGGGAAUAGGGUGUAUAGGUAGUGCACUAUAUAUGGAAGAGGGUGUAUAGGUAGUGCACUAUAUAGGGAAUAGGGUGUAUAGGUAGUGUACUCUAUAUGGAAUAGGGUGUAUAGGUAGUGCACUGUAUAGGGAAUAGGGUGUAUAGGUAGUGCACUAUAUAGGGAAUAGGGUGUAUAGGUAGUGCACUAUAUAGGGUGUAUAGGUAGUACACUAUAUAGGGUGUAUAGGUAGUACACUAUAUAGGGUGUAUAGGUAGUACACUAUAUAGGGUGUAUAGGUAGUGCACUAUAUAGGGUGUAUAGGUAGUACACUAUAUAGGGUGUAUAGGUAGUGCAGAGCAGCGAGGGAGGAGGCUGACUGUAUGUUGGACAGGCUCCUUGU